CGCCAUUUAAAGUGGUACGUGAGCUGGGUUUAAAACGUCGUGAGACAGUUUGGUCCCUAUCUGCCGUGGGUGUAGGAAUGUUGAGAGGAGCUGACCCUAGUACGAGAGGACCGGGUUGGACGAAUCUCUGGUGGACCUGUUGUGGCGCCAGCCGCAUUGCAGGGUAGCUAUAUUCGGACGGGAUAACUGCUGAAAGCAUCUAAGCAGGAAGCCUCCCUCAAAACGAGCAUUCCCUUGAGAGCCGUGGAAGACCACCACGUUGAUAGGCCGGAUGUGGAAGCGCAGCGAUGUGUGAAGCUGACCGGUACUAAUAGCUCGAUUGGCUUGAUCGUUCUCAUU
rnacentral:rRNA from 1 species